GUUUUCAUAUCGCGGCCACACACGAAGAAUAAAGGAUGGAUAAUUAUAUCAAAAGGCAUAUGAAAGAAAACGACGAUUUUUUCAGGAAUACGUUAGAGCGGAUUUUUGAAAAGUAUUCCAGAGUUGAUGGCUCGGGAGUGUUAGUGUGUUUGCAGUCCAUGACUUGCCGUACGGAAGAAGGCAUCCGACCUUGGAAUGGAGAAGAGGUUGA